ACGUAGGCAGCAAGCGUUGUUCGGAAUUACUGGGCGUAAAGAGUGUGUAGGCGGUGCUCUAAGUUUGGUGUGAAAUCUCCCGGCUCAACCGGGAGGCUGCAUCGAAUACUGGAAUGCUAGAGGGUGGGAGAGGUAAGCGGAAUUCCUGGUGUAGCGGUGAAAUGCGUAGAUAUCAGGAGGAACACCUGUGGUGUAGACAGCUUACUGGACCACUUCUGACGCUGAGACACGAAAGCGUGGGUAGCAAACAGGAUUAGAUACCCUGGUAGUCCACGCCCUAAACGAUGCAUACUUGGUGUGGGCCAUUCAUUUGGUCUGUGCCGGAGCUAACGCGUUAAGUAUGCCGCCUGGGGAGUACGGUCGCAAGGCUG
rnacentral:rRNA from 1 species